rnacentral:rRNA from 1 species
GACGAACGCUGGCGGCGUGCCUAAUACAUGCAAGUAGAACGCACAGUAUAUACCGUAGCUUGCUACACCAUAGACUGUGAGUUGCGAACGGGUGAGUAACGCGUAGGUAACCUGCCUGGUAGCGGGGGAUAACUAUUGGAAACGAUAGCUAAUACCGCAUAAUAUUAAUUAUUGCAUGAUAAUUGAUUGAAAGAUGCAACUGCAUCACUACCAGAUGGACCUGCGUUGUAUUAGCUAGUAGGUGAGGUAACGGCUCACCUAGGCGACGAUACAUAGCCGACCUGAGAGGGUGAUCGGCCACACUGGGACUGAGACACGGCCCAGACUCCUACGGGAGGCAGCAGUAGGGAAUCUUCGGCAAUGGACGAAAGUCUGACCGAGCAACGCCGCGUGAGUGAAGAAGGUUUUCGGAUCGUAAAGCUCUGUUGUAAGAGAAGAACGGGUGUGAGAGUGGAAAGUUCACACUGUGACGGUAUCUUACCAGAAAGGGACGGCUAACUACGUGCCAGCAGCCGCGGUAAUACGUAGGUCCCGAGCGUUGUCCGGAUUUAUUGGGCGUAAAGCGAGCGCAGGCGGUUAGAUAAGUCUGAAGUUAAAGGCUGUGGCUUAACCAUAGUACGCUUUGGAAACUGUUUAACUUGAGUGCAG